UUAACCAGGUAGGCUAGUUGAGAACAGGUUCUCAUUUGCAACUGCGACCUGGCCAAGAUAAAGCAUAGCAGUGUGAACAGACAACAACACAGAGUUACACAUGGAGUAAACAAUUAACAAGUCAGUAACACAAUGAAGAUAUCAUUGAAGAUAUUAGUCCCUUUUCUAGCCUCUCUGGAUUAAAACCUAAUUAUGACAAGUGUACCAUAUUACGGAUUGGAUCGUUAAAAAAACACAGUGUUUACACUACCUGGUAGUUUACUAAUAAAAUGGGCGGAUGGUGAAGUCGACAUACUUGGUAUUCACAUCUCAAAAAAUAUAAAUGAAUUCACCACAAUUCAUUUCAAUAGAAAGUUAGCAAAAAUAGAUAAGACAAAAAUAGAUAAGACAAAAAUAAGAUAAGAUUCUGUAACCAUGGACAGGUAAAUACUUACUUGUAUUUAUGGAAAAACUCUUUGGUCUUAUCACAGCCUGCUCAAUCCAAAUGUACAACCAACUGAUUGCAGCAUUACCAUUAAAAUGGAGGAGGAAAGUAGAAAAGGGAGAAGGUAGGGAACUUGUUUGCCUGCCAUAUAUUAAAGAUAUAAAUUGGCUGAAAGGAACUGGAAUAAAUAGAAAAAUAAAUUGACAUAAAUGUUGACAGCUGCGCCAUAGGGGUGGCAAAAUAAAUGGGAGGAGAUUUUUGAUGUACCAAAUCCAUGGCAUAUGGUUUAUGAACUGGUACAAAAAACUACACUUGAUUCCACACUUAGAGUUUUUCAAUUAUUAUAUACAAUUCUUGCCACAAACAGAAUGCUACAGUAUAUAUAUGGGUCAACAAUACAACAAUCUCAGCUCUGUAGAUUUUUCCUGCGAAGGGACCAUUUAUUCUGGUCUAGUCUCUAUGUAGGUUGUUUCUGGCCACAGGUUCAAGAAUGGUUAAAAAAAAAUCAUAACAUGCACUUAAAAUUAACCUUACAAAUAGCAGUGUUGAGCGAUUUGGAAAGCCGUAGUCAGUCAAUAAAUAAUAUAAUAAUACUGGUAGGAAAGGUUUUCAUCUUUCGCUCACAAUAUGUGGAUAAUAUAUGAUUAGAAAGGUUCAACAUGUAUGUAACACAUGACAGCUCAAUUGAAAAAAAUAUAUAUGGCACAUGGAAACCAAACGAGGUGGUCUAUGGUGAUAGGUGGGAUGGGCUGAGAGAGGCUGAGGGCUAUGGUUAUAGGUGGGAUGGGCUGAGAGAGGCUGAGGGGCGGGAUUAAAGAGCUGAGGGCUAUGGGGAUAGGUGGGAUGGGUUGAGAGAGGCUGAGAGGCGGGAUUAAAGAGCUGAGGGCUAUGGUGAUAGGUGGGAUGGGCUGAGAGAGGCUGGGAGACGGGAUUAAAGAGCUGAGGUCUAUGGUGAUAGGUGGGAUGGGUUGAGAGAGGCUGAGAGGCGGGAUUAAAGAGCUGAGGGCUAUGGUGAUAGGUGGGAUGGGCUGAGAGAGGCUGAGGGGCGGGAUAAAAGAGCUGAGGGUUAUGGUGAUAGGUGGGAUGGGCUGAGAGAGGCUGAGGGGCGGGAUUAAAGAACUGAGGGCUAUGGUGAUAGGUGGGAUGGGUUGAGAGAGGCUGAGGGGUGGGAUUAAAGAACUGAGGGCUAUGGUGAUAGGUGAGAUGGGUUGAGAGAGGCUGAGGGGUGGGAUUAAAGAGCUGAGGUCUAUGGUGAUAGGUGGGAUGGGUUGAGAGAGGCUGAGGGGUGGGAUUAAAGAGCUGAGGGCUAUGGUGAUAGGUGGGAUGGGUUGAGAGAGGCUGAGGGGCGGGAUUAAAGAGCUGAGGUCUAUGGGGAUAGGUGGGAUGGGUUGAGAGAGGCUGAGGGAUGGGAUUAAAGAGCUGAGGGCUAUGGUGAUAGGUGGGAUGGGUUGAGAGAGGCUGAGAGGCGGGAUUAAAGAGCUGAGGGCUAUGGUGAUAGGUGGGAUGGGCUGAGAGAGGCUGGGAGACGGGAUUAAAGAGCUGAGGUCUAUGGUGAUAGGUGGGAUGGGUUGAGAGAGGCUGAGAGGCGGGAUUAAAGAGCUGAGGGCUAAUGGUGAUAGGUGGGAUGGGUUGAGAGAGGCUGAGAGGCGGGAUUAAAGAGCUGAGGGCUAUGGUGAUAGGUGGGAUGGGUUGAGAGAGGCUGAGAGGCGGGAUUAAAGAGCUGAGGGCUAUGGUGAUAGGUGGGAUGGGUUGAGAGAGGCUGAGGGGCGGGAUUAAAGAGCUGAGGGCUAUGGUGAUAGGUGGGAUGGGUUGCGAGAGGCUGAGGGGAGGGAUUAAGGAGCUGAGGUCUAUGGUGAUAGGUGGGAUGGGCUGAGAGAGGCUGAGGGGCGGGAUUAAAGAGCUGAGAGCUAUGGUGAUAGGUGGGAUGGGUUGAGAGAGGCUGAGGGGCGGGAUUAAAGAGCUGAGGUCUAUGGUGAUAGGUGGGAUGGGUUGAGAGAGGCUGAGGGGCGGGAUUAAAGAACUGAGGUCUAUGGUGAUAGGUGGGAUGGGCUGAGAGAGGCUGAGAGUCGGGAUUAAAGAGUUGAGGGCUAUGGUGAUAGGUGGGAUGGGUUGAGAGAGGCUGAGGGGCGGGAUUAAAGACUUUAUGUUCAGUCAUGUAUUAUUGUUAUGUGAUUGAUGUCCGUAAAAGUACCAUGUAUAUAUGUAACGUGUAUAUUAUAUAUAUGUAACAAAAAAGCUGUAAAAAAAAAAUGUAGUUAUUUGUCCUUCCGACGAGAGUGGGUGGUGGAGGGGUUAAUAAUUUAAAAAAUAUAUCCUACACUUUUAGAAAACAUUGUGCUAUCUA